GCUUAAAUAUAUUUAAAAGACGAGAAGACCCUGUAGAGUUUUAUAAAAUUUUAAAUAUUAAUUUUUUAGUA
rnacentral:tRNA from 1 species